GGUGUUACAGUGAACCCGUAUAUACGAAGAUUGCAUUUACCAUUUAUUCUGCUUGACUAAUUCUAUUAAUAAACAGCUGAAAAUAUAUUCAGUAGCCUAGUGUUAAAUUUUGUUCUGAUACCAGAAUUGAAUUGACGCAGCCCUAACAAUUGGUGACCCCAAAUGUGAUUCUGGUAGAAGGACUUCGCUGGAACUUGUCCGGCCGAUUGGCCAUCGCUCUCGUCGGACGAUGUGUUUCACAAAUCCUGACCGGUCAAACAAAAGGUAAGCAGACACCUAUUGUGAAUAACUAAAGUUCUGCAUAUUGGCAUUAUCCAAAUUUAUUUUGUGAAGCACCUGUUUGAUGUAAGUGAUUAAAUUGUGGAACGUCCACCUGUUAUAUUAAUAAUUUGAUUUUGAAACAAUUUUGAGAGUUGUGGUGUGAUAAAUGCAAUCUUGAAACCGAUCGAUCAUUGAUGAUAUAACAAGUGAAUGUAAUGUACUAGGUAUUGAAGUACCAAGUGUGUAUGUGGUUAGUCGGCGUACUUAACCGGAAUGAGUGUGGGUGGAUGUAGGUAUAACAGCGAUUGUAAUGUACUAGGUAUUGAAGUACCAAGUUUGAGUGUGGCUGUCAAGUCUGGGACUGGUAGCAAGACUGAAUGAAGAUUGGGAGGUCAACCUAAUCGUAUGACUGAAGUACAUUAGAUACUAGUCGGCGUACUGUAUCAAGUGUGAAUUAUCUACGGAUAAAGGCGUUAUACUGAGUAACCAUUGAAUGACUGAAGUACAUUGGGUAUUAAGUCGGCGUACUAAUACCAAGUUUGAGUGACCUGCGGGUAAAUAAGAGGUCGGGGACGGUCGACCUGAGUUAUAUCAUCUAGCGCUGGGGAAAUAAAUAACGUUAGGAACGUACGUUAGAGACGUAAAUUGACAUUGAUAGUUAGGUUACCAUAGACUGAAAUUGAAAGGGAUGUAAAUUAACAUUGAUAGUUAGGUUACCAUAGACUGAAAUUGAAAGGGAUGUAAAUUAACAUUGAUAGUUAGGUUACCAUAGACUGAAAUUGAAUAUGACCAACCAGGAGACCGAGAGGGUGCUGAAAGCACUGAAGUUAACACUAGAGAUUAAUGGGGGUAGAGACGGGAAAGAGUGGAAAAGGAGGGG